UCCGAAUUCUGCGUGCAGUUAAAAUUGAUUGUGCAACUAUAAUAAACGGUUUACCAUUAAAGGCAAAUUUGUGUAGUAAACACAGCAUUCAUCCUUGAAAAACAAAUGGAUAAUUGGGUUUCCAUAAAUUUAAUAAAGCAAAGAGCUUGAGGUGAAGAUAUUCAAUGGUGCCAAUUAAAGCUAAAAUGCAUAUAUACAUGGCAAUCUAGGUCAUUAUUGUUUUCCUUAAAAGCAGAAAGGCUUCUUCAUUCUUGAAUUCUUCUCUAUCAGAAUGAAUGGUAGCAUCAGUGGCAGUCAACCUUGCUUGGAGACUGACUGCUUCUGAUGUUAGAGCUAGCUCCACCACGAGGCGGUGGUUUUGGUGGCAGAAAAUAAAUCAGAAUCAAAAUCCACCACCAAGAGCCGGCGCCCAAUAAUCAGCUCCAUUAAUGUCAUUUCCCACGUGCUGAGUGCAAGAAACUGGAACCAAGCACAGCCCUCUACUUCUCAAGUCCUUCUGUCCAUCUUCAGUAUUCUAUAAUUAUGUUAGCAGAAAAUGAGACAUUAGUUUAGAUCAAUUAGAAUUUUUUAACGAUAUUAUGAAAUUUACGAAGACAUUUGAAAUCACAGAUUAAGAAACAAUUUCGAUAAAAAAAAAAAAAAAAAAAAAAGAGAUAUUGAGCAAAAUCGUUUAUAUUAGUUAGGUUUCUUAUGAAACUACUGUUACAGAUUAUUUCACCUAACAAAUAGUUUGGCAAAUUUUAAUCAAGACUUAUAAACGUUGCACAGAAUUGGAAGGGUCUGAGGCCG
rnacentral:lncRNA from 1 species